rnacentral:rRNA from 1 species
UGAGGUAACACGUAUGCAACCUGCCUGCCACAGCCGGAUAAUCGGGAGAAAUUCCGUCUAAUACGGCAUAAUGCAUCGACGGGACAUCCUGUUGGUGCCAAAGGUUAAUUCCGGUGGCGGAUGGGCAUGCGUCGCAUUAGUUAGUUGGCGGUGUAACGGACCACCAAGACGACGAUGCGUAGGGGUUCUGAGAGGAAGGUCCCCCACACUGGUACUGAGACACGGACCAGACUCCUACGGAAGGCAGCAG